rnacentral:ncRNA from 1 species
UGUUAUUAGGGGUGCUUAUAUGCUGAGAAUAUACUCUUUAAACCUGAUCUAGGUAAUGCUAGCGGAGGAAACAAAAAAUGA